ACGGGUGAGUAACACGUGAGCAAUCUGCCCCUGACUCUGGGAUAACAGUUGGAAACAGCUGCUAAUACCGGAUAUGAGCUGCGACCGCAUGGUCGGCAGUUGGAAAGAAUUUCGGUCAGGGAUGAGCUCGCGGCCUAUCAGCUUGUUGGUGAGGUAAUGGCUCACCAAGGCGUCGACGGGUAGCCGGCCUGAGAGGGUGACCGGCCACACUGGGACUGAGACACGGCCCAGACUCCUACGGGAGGCAGCAGUGGGGAAUAUUGCACAAUGGGCGCAAGCCUGAUGCAGCAACGCCGCGUGAGGGACGACGGCCUUCGGGUUGUAAACCUCUUUUAGCAGGGAAGAAGCGAAAGUGACGGUACCUGCAGAAAAAGCACCGGCUAACUACGUGCCAGCAGCCGCGGUAAUACGUAGGGUGCAAGCGUUAUCCGGAAUUAUUGGGCGUAAAGAGCUCGUAGGCGGUUUGUCGCGUCUGCUGUGAAACCCCGAGGCUCAACCUCGGGCCUGCAGUGGGUACGGGCAGACUAGAGUGCGGUAGGGGAGAUUGGAAUUCCUGGUGUAGCGGUGGAAUGCGCAGA
rnacentral:rRNA from 1 species